UACGAAGGGGGCUAGCGUUGCUCGGAAUGACUGGGCGUAAAGGGCGCGUAGGCGGUUCGUACAGUCAGACGUGAAAUUCCCGGGCUCAACCUGGGGGCUGCGUUUGAUACGUGCGGGCUUGAGUUCGGAAGAGGGUCGUGGAAUUCCCAGUGUAGAGGUGAAAUUCGUAGAUAUUGGGAAGAACACCGGUGGCGAAGGCGGCGACCUGG
rnacentral:rRNA from 1 species